rnacentral:lncRNA from 1 species
CCAAUCAGCCUGAAUUCUGUAUUCUAUUACAUUACAGCCUUCAAUAUUACAAUGGUCAUAGUAUCCUCGAAUGGAGAAAUCAGACUGACAAACUCUAUCCAUUUGCAGUGGGUGUGAACACAAUAAUGGUUAUACCAUAUGUUUCAAUUCAGUAUAUCCCUAUCCCAGAUAUCCCAUACAUGCAGAGAUAAACCUGAAAUCAAAAGAAAUGCAUGGCAAAAAACACUGAACCACGAAGAUGUGUAGCUACUGAUUACAGCAUGUUUUAUUUCGUUAAUUAAAAUGAUAAAGUAUUACAAGUAGAAUUACAGCGAGAGCCAUACAAAUGAUUUUAUAAUUAAAUUUUAAUAUAUUAAUAAAACACAUCCUCAUUGCUUCUUCUAUGAUGACCUAGUUCUGCUGCUUGUCUUGUGAUCACCAUGGUACUCUGACAUCCUCAGAGCAGGGUGACAGCACUAGUUGGAGGGACAGCCUAUAGCAAUUUUAUUUAUUUUUUAAAUAAAUCCUCCACCACAUCAGAAAUCCACAAUUUUAAGUCUUCACUAAUCCCACUGCAGUGCUGCUUUACUGCACAAAAGAAAAAAGUCACAACAGCCCCUGGAAUGGGGGAUGGCUUAUUAUGAACUACAGCUCCACCAAGUGACCGCAGUCAGACAUGACACCUGUCAGAGCUAAGGCACAGAACUGCAGUGGCUUUCAGUGUCCACAUUCUUCACACUGUCCACCCUCUUCACACUGUCCACAGUGUCCAUACUCUUCACACUGUCCACAGUGUCCACCCUCUUCACUGUCCACCCUCUUCACACUGUCCACACUCUUCACACCGUCCACAGUGUCCAUACUCUUCACACUGUCCACAGUGUCCACCCUCCUCACACUGUCCACCCUCAGAGAUCCCAGCAAGAACAGACGCACCUGAUGCACAGUCCAGCUCUUUCUCA